GUGAACGAGCGACGCCGCGUGCGGGAUGAAGGCCUUCGGGUUGUAAACCGCUGUCAGUGGGGAGCAAAUGCAUAAGGGUUCUCCCUUGUGUUUGAGCGAUCCGCAGAGGAAGCGCAGGCUAAGUUCGUGCCAGCAGCCGCGGUAAUACGAACUGCGCAAACGUUAUUCGGAAUCACUGGGCUUAAAGAGUUCGUAGGCGGCGCACUAAGUCGGGUGUGAAAUCCCUCGGCUUAACCGAGGAAUUGCGUCCGAAACUGGUGUGCUUGAGUAAGAUAGAGGUGAGCGGAACUGAUGGUGGAGCGGUGAAAUGCGUUGAUAUCAUCAGGAACACCGGUGGCGAAAGCGGCUCACUGGGUCUUAACUGACGCUGAGGAACGAAAGCUAGGGGAGCGAACGGGAUUAGAUACCCCGGUAGUCCUAGCCGUAAACGAU
rnacentral:rRNA from 1 species